UAAAUCCGAGAUAGAAUGAGAAUUAGCCAACGAGGUCUAAAUGAAAGUUGAAGAUCUCAUUAAUAGGAACUCAACAGUAAAAAGACAGACAAAAAUGGAGCUCGUAUGCAAAAGUUACGGACGAAGCUUGGAGACUACUUUACUAUACACUUCCUAUAAAUACAAGGGUGAACUCCUCAUAUUUUCUUCACACCAUAAGCCUUUCUUUCUCUCUCUAACUUCUCUCUAGCCUCCCUAAACCCCUCCCAAGUCUACGGAACCUCCCUAGCACGAGAAGAAAGCCCCGGAGCGCCCGACGGCUCCGAGAAGAAAAGCUUUCGGCUCGGAAACGCUGCUCCAGCGAAGCCUGGUUUUUAAUAAAAACCCGCUGUUUCGUCAAGGGAUAAUUGUUUUAAGAGUAACGAAGUGCUGUCCGAGUGCCGACUCACCACCUUUCAGGUGACGAAGUGAAGUGACAUUACACUGAGAGAUUUAAAAGAGAUGUAGAUCAGUAGUGUAAAUCAUUGUACUUCGUUUUCAAAGGAAAUGAGUCGGCUUGAUCGCAGCGCAUCACACUAUAUUUUCGCACAUGAGGUCUUGGGGAUUACACUCUGAUAUUGUUUUAUGAUAACAUGUUUUGAUUAUUUCUACUUUGGUGUUUGACAUGAUAUGUUAUUAUGGAUGUUUUAUUACUUACGGUUUUAUAAUGACUUAUUUAAAAAUGAAAUUUUUGGUCUUGAAUUUUGAGAUGUUACAACUUAUAUGCUAAGUGUACCAUGUGGUACGCCUCCUGUACUGCCUAAGGACCAAAAUGCAACUUUUAUAAUAACAAGGGCAAUAAAAAAAUAUACCAGGAUUCAAGUGUUACACCACCUUCUGCAAUAUCAAGCAUUUCGAAAACAAAAUCGACAUGCCCGGAGAAAGACAA